UCUAAAUUGGAGGUCGAUGAGGCACGAAGCGAUUUUUCGAAGUUGGAGGAGAAGUUAGAAACUAUGUCAAGAUUUCUUAAGGAGGUCAAGAGAAGACAUUUAGUCAAGAUAAAAUCAAGUUGGUUCAGGAAAAAACAGAAGUUGGUUGAGCAUCUACAUUUGGCAGUCAAGUCGUAUACAAUCGAGUUGAUCGGGAGUUUUGAUCAACGAAAGGAAUUUGGAGCCCUUCAGCAUUGUUUUUCAAGACAAGAAGUUCAACAUUAAGCUUUUCUAAACUUGAGGACGUGGCAAGAAUUUAUUGGUCAGAAGUAGACUUGAUGAUGUGGCGCGUUUUCAUUGGUCGCGGAAGAGAUCCACAUGUCAAUUUUUUAUUGACGAGAGGGGAGGACACGUGUCAGCACCAAAGAAUCCUUCUAGAAACUGGACACAUGUCUCUUCCUCAGAAAUUCUUCUAGAAGGUGGACACUUGUUGGCUGGAGAGGAGACUUGCGCCAUUUGUCGUCGCCAUCGCCAUUUGUCACCGGAGAGCUCCCAUGCGUCGCCACCUCGCCGCCCAUGCACUGGUCUUCAUUAUCUAUAUAAAGAGAUGCACCCCUUGCCAUUUUUCCCAUUCCAAACUGUGGUCACCUUUAGAGAGAGAGUGAGGGAGAGUUUAGAGAGAGAAAGUGGUCUUUAGAGUAGUUUUAGAGCAUUUUCGGUUAGGAAGCGUAGGUCGUCUGGAUUUCCGGGAAACCUAAAGUCGAGUCGGGUAGUUUAGAAACCGUUGAGCCGAAAUCACUGCAGGUUCCCGACAUUUUUCAGUUCGAUCUCGGCAGGAGGCUAGAUUUGUCUUGGUGUCCGUUUGUGUAGUUAGAUCUAAGGUUAAUUACUUGUAAAGUCUGAGUGAUUAUUUAUGAAGGGCGGUGGAGGCUGGCUGCAGUUGUAUAUUAUCAAUGUUUGGCCAAGCAUUUUCUUGUCUGAUUGUUGCUUGACCGAAUAUGGUUGAUAUUACAAUGGAGGUAUCUAACGCUACAUAAGUUAAUCUAAGAUGAUAUAAGUGAUUGGCGGAGGAACUAUUAGAUUUAUUGAUUGUGUGAUUGAUUUCUUGUUGAUUAUAGUGAUUGUUUGUUGAUUGCUAGCAUUGAUUGAUAGAUUGCGUGUUUAGUUUAUUGCUGCUUCGACUAUCGCUACGUUGAUUGUUAGAAUGAUUGAUAGAUUGAUUGAUUGUUAGAUUGCAUGAUUUAUUUAUUGCUUGCUUACUUGCUUGUUGUGAUUGUGUUGUGAUUGCUUAUUUAAUUUAUUUGGUUUAAUCGAUAAAUCGGUUUUUACGAAAAAGAGUCGUUUUGGGGAAAAUGGUUUUACUCUUGAUUCGGUGUCGUGUGACCCGAUGUGAGUGUGGGAGGUUUGAUCCUACCUUUCCUCACUGUAUGGUUGGAGCCAUUGGUGGGAAGACUCGGAGAGACGGGAUUGCAGCCUAUGACCGAGUACAUCCGACAGGAUGUUUCCACGGAUGGACGAUGGGCUGUGGGAUGCGCGCAAUGAACCCGGCGGACCGUGCUGGGUUGAUGGCCGAUUCUCAUGUGCCUUUGUGGUUAUGAGAUGGGUGUGCUUGUUUGGGGACAGGAUUGAAUGUGCGAUCCCUUUUGAAAGAGUUUUGUCGAGUCGUUUUCUUAAGAAAUGGUUUAGUUGAUUUAGUCGAGAUUUCUGAUUGUUUUGACUGAUUGAUUGUUGUGUGUUAUUUUUGGGUUUUUUGGGGGGGGAGGGGGAGAGGGAUUGUUUAUCAUGCUAGAGGGAGCUAUAGCUCAUUGAGCGAUUAGCGCUCAUACUCGUUUUUGCAUGUAAUCUUUAGGUGGUGUUACUAGUGGAGUCGCUGAACGUUAGGAAGCCGGUGUAGACUUCAGUAGCAUAUGCAAUGAAGACUUUUAUGUUGAAAAUGUUGAUAUUAUGUAUUAUAUUCUGGCACUAGGCCGCGCGCAAAAUUCUGUAUGUAUUUUGUAAACAAUGAUUCUAUUAUUAAUAAAAAUCCAGAGGUUUAUCCGUUUGUUGAGCUUAAUGAUAUAAACCUUGUCUGGGUUGACACAACUCGUGAUCGUGGUACGGGUUGUAAAGCCUUCGGCUAUGGUCUCGGGGAACUAGGGAUCCAGAACGAGAUGGCUAAACGUCUGAACUCGUUUAGUAUCUUGGCCAACCUGUUUCGGUGAACUAAAUUGUUGCAUUUUUGGAUCGGUCUAGGUUGGGAGAUUGGUCGUGUAUUUUCUUGUUUGAUUAUUGUGCGGCCGACCAUCGAAGCUCGGUUGGUCGUUCAUUUUCUUGUUUGAUUGUUGGGCGGCCGAUCGAGUGGACUUUGACCUAGAACGGUUCGGGGGUGUUACAAAUGGUGGUAUCAGAGCAUGGUUCCUGAUCAUGCUCAUAAGUAUCAACGUUUUCAAAUGUUUUAUCAACUCAAAUGUGUCGCAUAUGCUACUUAGGGUAAACCGGUACGUUCCGCAUAAGGUUGAGAGGUUAGGUGUGUGAGUGCCUUUAGUUUGUAGGGUAGAUUUUUGCUGUUAACCCUUGUAGAUGAACCCUUAGGGCGUUGAGUUGAGUGUUCUUGUAGUGGUUUAGGAGAAACCCUUUCCGUGCAUGGUGUGGCUGUUGAGGUAUCAGCAAGAGUUGAGAGGCCGUUGGAAGAAGGCUUGGUCUACAAGGUGUCUUAUCAUUUAUCAGCGACAAAGAGAAGAGGACUUGAAGAUUGAGGAAGAUAUGAUUAGUCCGAAGGAACGUGACCUUUAAAAUAUGUUCUUUGAAGAAAUGGAUAGUCAGAUAGAAAACGGUUGUUAUGGAAUCAAAAGGAGAAGAGGAAUCAGGAAGGCAGAGUUAUCAAGAGGAGUGUGGAGUUAUUUCAAGACAUGAAGACUGAAGGCUGAAGAAAAUAGUACCAAAUGGUGAUGUUUAGCAAGGAGAAUAAUUGAGAAGAUAUUUGCAAGAGAGAUUAGCGAUAAGGUGAAGAUCCAAAUGGAGAGAACAUUGGAGUGAAGCAGUAAACGAGGUGAUCAUCAACAUUGUCAACCCAAUGGAAAUGUAGGAGAUGAUAGUAUCAGAGUUGUGCAGCAGGAGAAUGGAGAACAAACAUAAUUCGGGACGAAUUCUUUUUAAGAGGGGGAGAAUGUAAUACCCCUGGUCAAGUCAACAGAAAGUCAACUAUUCAAUAAUCAUCAACACUUGGGUCAAGACGCUAGCAAAGGAGAAAUAAGGAGGUUCGGUCAAGGGAGAUUUCAUUUGGAUCGCACAGAUCGUGUUUUGGUCGAGGCGUCUAAAUUGAAGGUCGAUGAGGCACGAAGCGAUUUUUCGAAGUUGGAGGAGAAGUUAGAAGCUAUGUCAAGAUUUCUUAAGGAGGUCAAGAGAAGACACUUAGUCAAGAUAAAAUCAAAUUGGUUCAGGAGAAAACAGAAGUUGGUCGAGCAUCUACAUUUGGCAGUCAAGUCAUAUACGAUCGGGUUGAUCGGGAGUUUUGAUCAACGAAAGGAAUUUGGAGCACUUCAGCGUUGUUUUUCAAGACAAGAAGUUCAACAUUAAGCUUUUCUAAACUUGAGGACGUGGCAAGAAUUUAUUGGUCAGAAGUGGACUUGAUGAUGUGGCGCGUUUUCAUUGGUCGUGGAAGAGAUCCACAUGUCGAUUUUUGAUUGGCGAGAGGGGAGGACACUUGUCAGCACCAGAGAAUCCUUCUAGAGACUGGACACAUGUCUCUUCCUCAGAAAUUCUUCUAGAAGGUGGACACUUGUUGGCUGGAGAGGAGACUUGCGCCAUUUAUCGCCACCGUCGCCGUUUGUCACCGGAGAGCUUCCAUGCGUCGCCACCUCGCCGCCCAU
rnacentral:lncRNA from 1 species